UCCAUGGUUCCUGUUCCUACUUUGUCCCCUGGGCUGUGUUGCCUCUGGACGACAGCCUAGUUUGGAAACAUCCCCGCCCCCCGCCCCUCCCUCGCCCUGGAGGCUUUCAGAGCCGAGAGGGCACACAGGGGCCCUUUCAGCCAGUGUUAAGAUCUUGGCUCCUGUUAGGGGGAGAUUUGUGUUUCCUGUUUACCUGCUGGAUGGUGUUUCAAGAGGCAAGGGCCUGGACUCCCUCUUACAUGGAGACUUUGGAUGCAUCCACCCAGGAACUCGAGGGAGUGACAACCUGUCAUACGUGCAUACAGCAGAGUGCUACCCAGGGACAGCAAGGAAGAAACCACUGAUUUACACAACAGCAUGGAUAAACUAAAUGCAUUUUGCUUGGUGAAAGAAGACAGGCUCAAAAGGCUUUAAAUUGUCAGAGAGGCCAGGCAAUGCUUUCUCAGGGGCUCUGAUGGAGGCAGAGCAGGACUUCUGGUGCAGGCCCGUCCCUGCUCCCCGUCCCCGGGGCCUGCUGCAUCUGGGUUUAUGGUAAGUGUUCGGGGAGGAAUUUCCAGGCCUCCCAUCCAGCUGUGCAUGUUUCUAGCACGAGCGCGCUUGUGUCCACUGAUCUUCAUGGAAACGCCAGCAUUCUGCAUGGGAGCACAUUUCCAUGUGUGCACGUCCUUCUCUGCUCUUUGCUGCCACUUCCUGUCCUCUCGCGGACCAGCGUUAUGGCCGCGGCCCUUGCGGGGGAGCACAUCUGGAUUUGAACACGGUCUUCGGCACUGACUCAGUCAUGUGGCCCCGAACAAGCUACCUGGUCCUCCUCCAUGAAGCUUGCUUUAGCUGCUUCGGCUCAUUUGGAUUCCCCUUUCCUUUGGGCUCCCAUGCCAGAUCUUGCUGCUGCAAGGCCAUUCGACAUGAAACCUUCUCCCCCACCCACCUCUGAUCUCUGCAAGAAGACAGUCCUGACGAUGGUCCCGGAGCUGAAGAUUUCAUUCAGGCACCGUGGCAAGCCUAUCGCCUCUCCAAGAACGAGCUGCUUUCAUCCGCCAGGGAGACCCAGCUUCCUCAACUCUCAAAUCCAAUGCAGUGCUAGGUCGGAAAUUUCCAACCAUCCAUCACAGAAGAUACAGAGGGGCCAAUUGGGUAGGUUUCUAGGUACCCAUUCUCUUUAAAAGAAGCAGAUUGUAUGUUUUAUACACUGAGUUUCUGUCUGGUGUUUUGUCGGGAGGGUACCAUGGAGGGAAAAAAGAUGUCAAAAACUAUUAUCUUAAAGACUUUUCUAAUAUUUGAUAAUGAGAUAUCGUUUGUAUUAAUUAUAUCGCUCAGUUAGGUGUGAGGGCCUUCAAGGCCUGCUACCUUGGUGAUAUUGCCACAGAGCCAACUAGCUCAGGGCUGGGCUCACAGAAGGUUCAAUAAACAUUUGCUGUUUGAUUGUGUUUUCACUCUAA